UACGGAGGAUGCAAGCGUUAUCCGGAAUCAUUGGGCGUAAAGAGCGUGUAGGCGGCUCGAUAAGUCCGCUGUGAAAGUCCAGGGCUCAACCCUGGAAGGCCGGUGGAAACUGUCGGGCUAGAGUCCGGAAGAGGCGAGUGGAAUUCCCGGUGUAGCGGUGAAAUGCGCAGAUAUCGGGAGGAACACCAAUGGCGAAGGCAGCUCGCUGGGACGGUACUGACGCUGAGACGCGAAAGCGUGGGGAGCAAACAGG
rnacentral:rRNA from 1 species